AGCUUGCAAGCUAGCUAGGGCAGACUUGCGCUUCUGUGGGCCUUUUUUGACGGGGAUGUGGAGGCCUCCAAACAGGAGCAAAUUAGCACCAGCGGCCACAGGGAAAUCACCAUUCAGCAAAAAAAUGUUGGCUAAACCCAACACUAGCCACAUCCAUUAUGUUUUACAUUACAUUACAUUUAUUUGGCAGACGCUUUUAUCCAAAGCUAAGUUUAUCCACACUGAGUUACUGAAAAAACAAAAUGUACUAUUCUUAAUUAGAUUGCAAGCUAGCGUGCUUCUCCGUGUUUGAUUCCACAUUUUAAUCACACAGGCUAGGUAAUGAUAUUAAGUCUGAAUAUCUGGAGUAUUUUUGACGCUUAAUUGCCUAGUAAAAGAAAAAGAUCCGGAAAAAGGGUGUGUGUCUUCUGAAAUGCCAGUUGCAGCUGCUUUUCUUUGUGCAAGCUGCCAGCUCAGCUGCACAGUGACCAGGGAAGUCACAGUCGGGUUACAAGGCAGGAGGAUACCCCGUUAGCCCCACACUGCGUGAUGCUAUGGCCACCCUGCCCGUCAUGACCUGAUGCAGCAGACGCCUCUCUACGGACCAAACUACUCGGAAUACCAGCUGGAUGCAAAACUUGGGACCCCUUCUGGUUUCUGUCUUGAAGCCAAUUGGACAGGCAGAGAUGGGGAGGAGCCGCUAAGACAGUGCCAAGGGGGUACCGCCACGCCGAGACUCCGCCCGAGCGCCCUUCCUGCUGCUAUACGUGUCCAGAUUUGGACAAGUAGGCAAUGAGGGCCACCACCACACCCACGUACACUCCUGUUCCGAUCGUUAUGGACAGGGCGGCCAGGAACAGAGCCCUACGGGACGCGGUGCUUGCUUGCGGGAAGUCUCCCUUGGCGAUGGCUUUGCUCGUCUGCAGAAAGAAGUGAAGAAACAGACAUUAAAUACACAGCAAAGAAACUUCUUUUCCUUAACAAUCAUUAAAUCGUGUCUCUCUCUAUUUUGCUCUUACGGUCAAAAAGCUGAAGCAGCGGUUUAAAUAAGCAAUUAUGAACAUCUUAAAAGACAGUUAAUUGGGCAGAGAUAAUGCACAUUGCAGAGGGGAGAAAAGGCAGAAAAAACCCUAGUGUUUAUUUUGUUGUUUGUCUCUUUCCACAGGCACUGAUGUGUCUUUUAAACACUUUGCUAAUUACUUCCAGGGUCUACUUGGUAUUGUCCAGGGAAAACAUGCUUUUAAUGGAAUUAGUCGGAGAAAUAAAAAAAAACAACUCUACUGGAAAUACACUUCUCCCUCUUUGACUGCAUGUUGGUUCCAUCUAAUAUCAGCAGGAAGGGAGCGGCGGAGUGAAAAGAAAACAAUAAAACAUGCGUUUUAAUGCUACUUUCGACAUGUUGGUGGAUGCUUUUAUUAAUAGUGCUAGAAGCAGUUUAAGCUGAGUGGUGUGAUUACAAGCUGCCUCCUGUGUUUUCAGAGACUGCUGUUUCCUCACUGAUGCCGUGUGUUUUAUAUCAUGGCAGGAACCAUCCCUAGCAUGCUUGGGGCACUCACUGGUCCCACUGUGUAGACUACAUACUAU